AGCAGCCGCGGUAAUUCCAGCUCCAAUAGCGUAUAUUAAAGUUGUUGCAGUUAAAAAGCUCGUAGUUGAAUUUCGGGAUCAAUUAAUUGGUCGUGCCUCUGGUACGUACUGAUUUUAUUGGUUUCUCCCUUCUGACGAACCAUGAUGUCAUUAAUUUGGUGUCGUGGAGAAUCAGGACUGUUACUUUGAAAAAAUUAGAGUGUUUAAAGCAAGCUAACGCUUGAAUACAUUAGCAUGGAAUAAUGAAAUAGGACGUUUGAUCCUAUUUUGUUGGUUUCUAGGAUCGACGUAAUGAUUAAUAGGGAUAGUUGGGGGCAUUAGUAUUCAAUUGUCAGAGGUGAAAUUCUUGGAUUUAUUGAAGACUAACUACUGCGAAAGCAUUUGCCAAGGAUGUUUUCAUUAAUCAAGAACGAAAGUUAGGGGAUCGAAGACGAUCAGAUACCGUCGUAGUCUUAACCAUAAACUAUG
rnacentral:rRNA from 1 species